rnacentral:misc_RNA from 1 species
GAAAUGCGAUAAGUAGUAUGAAUUGCAGAAUUCAGUGAAUCAUCGAAUCUUUGAACGCACAUUGCGCCCCUUGGUAUUCCAUGGGGCAUGCCUGUUCGAGCGUCAUUUGUACCUUCAAGCUUUGCUUGGUGUUGGGUGUUUGUCUCGCCUCUGCGUGUAGACUCGCCUCAAAACAAUUGGCAGCCGGCGUAUUGAUUUCGGAGCGCAGUACAUCUCGCGCUUUGCACUCAUAACGACGACGUCCAAAAGUACAUUUUUACACUCUUGACCUCGGAUCAGGUAGGGAUACCCGCUGAACUUAAGC